UACGUAGGGUGCGAGCGUUAAUCGGAAUUACUGGGCGUAAAGCGUGCGCAGGCGGUUCUAUAAGACAGAUGUGAAAUCCCCGGGCUUAACCUGGGAACUGCGUUUGUGACUGUAGGACUCGAGUGUGGCAGAGGGGGGUGGAAUUCCACGUGUAGCAGUGAAAUGCGUAGAGAUGUGGAGGAACACCGAUGGCGAAGGCAGCCCCCUGGGUCAACACUGACGCUCAUGCACGAAAGCGUGGGGAGCAAACAGG
rnacentral:rRNA from 1 species